GUGAAGAACGUAGCGAAAUGCGAUACUUGGUGUGAAUUGCAGAAUCCCGCGAAUCAUCGAGUUUUUGAACGCAAGUUGCGCCCGAAGCCAUUCGGCCGAGGGCACGUCUGCCUGGGUGUCACGCAUCGUUGCCCCCCCAAACUCCGGUUCGGGCGGGGCGGAAGUUGGCCUCCCGUGCGUGCCUGCGCGCGCGGUUAGCCCAAAAGCGAGUCCUCGGCGACGAGCGCCACGACAAUCGGUGGUUUUUUUACCCUCGUUCCUCGUCGUGCGUGUCCCGUCGCCCGAACGCGCUCUUGUGACCCUCACGCGUCGCCUCGGCGGCGCUCCCAACGCGACCCCAGGUCAGGCGGGACUACCCGCUGAGUUUAAGCAUAUCAAUAAGCGGAGGA
rnacentral:misc_RNA from 1 species